UUUUUUUUUUUUUUUUUUUUUUUGUUAAAAGAAAAUUUGAAGAACCACCCUAACAGCUAGAGAAUGAACCAAAGAACAACCAAAGAACAACCAAGAACAAAUAUUGAGAGACAUCACAAGAAAAACACUUCAACUUAUCAUAAGGAUUCCAAUUACAGUCGAAAACAGUUGAAACAAACCUCAACCAUAAGAAAAUGCAAAAUCGAAGAACGACAUCAUACACAAAGGCAUGGUACUUACUUAGACGAUGCAAGCAUGUAGAUGAAACAGAUGGACCAAUACCAACCUCCAGAAACAAACUAAAAACAUGAUCAUUGAGAAUAUUGAAAGGCACUUGCAACUAGCCCAAAAUGAAACUGAACCAGAUCACAAUACAACAAAGAAAACACACACUAUUGUUUUUCUUCCUGUCUGUCAACUAGACAAAUACGAAAGCUACUAUUCAUUUUUUUUUUUAUUUUGUAAACCAUUGAAACAGAUGCCAUUCCCGUGUGGGAGUAUGUAAUAUCUCCAUCUUUUACCAGAACACGAGGGUAGGGUGUAGCCUACAUCUUUUCGGCAAAACACACUCAAGAAGUGCAAUACCAUGAUAACGUGCAACACAAGAACUAACAUCUCUUAAGUGCAUCCAUCAGAGCAUGACCCUCACAGCCCCAACGGGUUCUUAGCCAAAUGAGUAUGCUCUCAAGACAUUCAAAUGGCUGGGGAUUUUGUGAGUCAUUGACCACUUACAAGAGGCAAAUACAUAUAAAAGAAGACGAUGAUCAUGAAUGGAAACUAUAGAAGAGUGGAGAUAUAUAGGUAUGUAAAACGAUAAUCCAACUACAUGUAGAUGCACCAUGUAAGAAACUACCAAGACGAAGAGAAUAUGAUGUAACCCUACAACUAUGCAUGACACAAAAACGGUUGAGGACGCCAAACAAGAAACAUCUGUAAAAUGGAAUCCACACAAUAGAGAAAGUAGUAUGUCCUCAAUACCAACAACAAUAACAAAUAACUGAACCUAAACAUCCUAAACACAGACAGUUCCAAAGAACACAUUAGGUAUAUGAAUGCAGAAGAGGUGUAGUGACAAUGAAACAGUUAUCAGAUGAGCGACUACCAGAUAACACCAAGAUAUGAUUGGAAUCAAAAACAUCACAACGAUUAUCCUCAAACACAACCUUAAAUUUAGCAUCACAUAACUGACUAAUACUCAAUAGAUUGGACUUAAGACCCUUGACAAAAAGAAGCUCAUGACUAUUGAGCGAUUCAACCUCAGAAAAUUUACCUUUACCUUCAACCGGAAGCAUCUUACCAUUACCAAACCUAACCUUACCUCCAUAACCAAGAGUCAGGUUAUCAAUCAGAGUCUUAUCACCUGUCAUAUGACGCGAACAACCGCUGUCAAGAUACCAUGAUAAAGGCAUUGGUUCAAUCAACCGAGCCAUGUGAGACACCAUUUUCCUGGAUGCAUCCAUACUCCUAUCCCAGAAAUGUGGUGGUGGAGUAGGCAUGGGUGUUGCUUGAGAACGGUUUCCAUAAGGAGAAGUUCUGGGUAAACCCCACGGAGCAUAGCCAUUCCACAUGUAUGGAGCCUGCAUGGAGAAGGUGGAAGACUUGUUCCAAUAUGAGUUACCUGCAAAAGAAGGAUGAUGAGCAGGAUACAAAUUAUUCCAACAAAAGGCAGAAGUGUGACCCAUGCGACCACAUGUUAGACAUUUAAAGCCUUUGUGUCUAGAGUUCUUUUUCCGAACAUGCUUUACAUGAGUAACCUUGGGUGGUGAUACCACACUAGACACCUGCACAGGAGCAGGAAUAGCGACACUAGUUGGUCGCACAAAGGUAGUGCGGGAAGUGCUAGCAGUAGCAAGGGGAACAGAAGUGUCAUAACCUAAACCAGAUUUAUCUGAAUGGGAUUUACCGAUUCCCAACAGAGAGUUUAGAUUAGCACUUGUUUUACCAAACCCAACCAAUUGUUUGUUAGCAGCAAACAACUCAGCCUUUACUCUCUCAUGCUCCAAUACAAGGGAUCGAUACCGUGUUUCCAGAUCAUUAUUCAGCUUUUCCAGAGUGACAAUACGCACUUGGAAAUCCUCCUUUUCCUUCACAAAUUCUUCCUUCAACAUGUUGGAAUCACCUGUAAGAUUGCAUAUAUCCUGUCCAAGACUCUCUACCUGAUCCUGCAAGACGGUGUUAGUUUUUUCAAGCAACUUUACUUGUUGCAUAGAAAACUUAUACAUGUCACAUAAUUCACUAGUAGUAGCAUGAACACCAGAAUCAGAAACAUUAAUAUCAGCAGAAGAGGAUACAAUACCUCCUGGAUGUUCAUCCAGGGAUACACUGAAGACCACAUAAUUGGAGACAAUAUUGGAGAGAUUCCCAUCAUCAUCUUCAUCUGACUCAUCCCAUGUUACUGUGAGAUUCGCUUUGGAAUUAUCACCAGGUUUGCGAUCGACCUUCUUAUCACAUUCAUUUGCCAAGUGUCCAUAAUCACGACACUUGUAACAUUGGACAUCUUUACGAUCAACUCGAGCUCUUCUCCCAUCCACAGAGAACCGCUCAAAACCACGACUUCUAGGAGCAUUUGAGGAAUCAGGAAAUCGCUUUCGAGGAUCUCGAUUCUGUUGAUAUUUCAAAAUCUUCUGAAAGCUACGUGACAGAAACGCAUAGUUAUCAUCCACAUCCUGUUCUUCAUCAUCAGAAGGUCCUGUGGAAGGUUCUUUAGACGAUGUAGCUUUGAAUGCAACAGAUUUGUUCUUCAAAGGUUCUUCCAAAGCCUGUUCCAUCUCACAUGUCCUUAGUUUGCCAGCAAGUGUCUCGAUGGACAUGUUCUUAAUCACAUUACUCUCAGUGAUGGCAUCCUUUCGUGAACGAAACCGAGGAGGCAAAGCACGCAAUAUCUUACGUACCACCUGUGUGUCAGUAUAUGCAUGACCAAUAGCCGCACUGCAGUUGAUGAUGUCUUGGAGACGAAUAAAGAAAUCAUCAAAGGUCUCAGAAUUAUCCAUCCGUAGAUUCUCAAACUGAGAUGUCAACAGUUUCAGCUUACUUUCUUUGACUGUUUCGUCACCUUCAUGUGUACAGAUAAGCCUGUUCCAUGCAUCUUUAGCCUCUUCACAGCCCUGCACCCUACGAAACUCACUAGCAUUUAAUGCCAUGAAAAUAGCAUUGAGUGCCUUGUUGUUAUAAUUUGCCAACAACUUCUGUUCAGGCGUCCACUUUUCACGUGGCGUCAGUGAUGUAACAGCAGUAUCAUCAGUACCUGUAGUAGUCAGAGGUUCUUUCCACCCUGUGACAACAGAAAGCCAGACUUCUUCUCCUAAUGCUUGGAGAUAAGCUCGCAUACGUACUUUCCAAUGACCAAAGUCUUUUCCACUGAAUUGUGGAGGAAGACUUGAAGUAGCAGACUUGUGAGAUUCCAUAAAGCACUAUUGAUCGUUAGCGUGAGCCUUUACGCUCCUUAACCAGCCCCCAGCGACUGAUACCAAUUGAGAAACUAUAAAUAGUGCUAGUAUAACAAAUGUGAAUUCAAACAAGCAAACAAACAAUACGCAGAAAGUAAAUAACACACAGAGAUUUUUAACGUGGUAAAACCCAAACAGGGAAACGUCCACGGUUGUCCUCGCGACAACAAAAUAAUCCACUAGAUGAAAAUAGAUGUACAAACCUAUCAACUACCUGCACUCACUGCGAGUUGAUACUCCUGGUUAUCUCUAACACCUUGACUUCACCAGAGCACCUUGAUGUACGCACAAGACACUCGACUUCUUGAUGAACACACAAGAAGACUCGAAGCCUAAAUCACAAUAACUCUUAAAGAUCACAAAGAUAUGAAUUGAGAAAAGGGGGAAGAAAGGGAAUUGAGUUCAAUAGCCACAAACAAUUUCAAUAUCACAAACCUAACCAAAACACAUGAACUAGAAGAAGGGUGGACGGCCAAAGAACUGUCUUGUUCUAUGGAAGAGAAACCCUAUUUAUACUUAGGGUUGAAAACCUAGGAAAAUGGGCCGAAACAGUGCAAACCGACUUUGGACGUUCGUACGUCGAUAUGACGUUCGAACGUCGCCACACAAAAAUAACCCUGCUGCCUAACAUGACAUACGAACGCUCUAACUCGGUACGUACGUCUCCAUACGAAAACACGACUGCUGCCUACUUGGACGUACGAACUUCCUAACAGCGUACGUACGUCCUGACCAAAAGAUGUUUGCUGCUUCAGUGGACGUACGUACGUCCUAACUCGGUACGUACGUCCAGAACCCAAUAACUUCUCCUGGACAGACCUAAGAGACACAAGGACACGAGACGACCAUGCGUACAUCUUGAUUUUCCUAACAAUGAAUUCAAGGCGAGAUAACCAAAGACACUUUGUCACAAAAUUGAUGUCAAACCACUUCGUGCCGGUUUCACAGAUGCCUAGGCCAAACCACCCCCCCCCUGGCGAUAUAAUGUUCCAGUUCCCGAUCUGGGAGUUCACUUUGCACCUAGGCCAAAACGCAUAAGGUGCCCUAGGUGGUCUUUUAAUAUGGAUAACUACAUGUGUACGAAAAUGUUUGAGGCUAUCAUCAUUGGGCUGCGUACAGAAGAUGGUAGUUUUCCACGUGACUUAACCAAGGAAUUGCAACCGAUUUGACCAAUAACUUUCAUGUUGAGGUUGACGACGAAGAUGUGCGGAGGCGAUGCAAGUAUUUGAAGCAACGUGUUGUGAAGAUAAAUGAUUUGUGUGCGAGGCCGGGAUUCAAAUUUGACCUGGUGGAAUGCAAGGUUGUAGCUAACGAAGAAGCGUGGGCACAACUUGAAAUGCCCAAUUAUUGGAAGGAGUUGAAAGAUACGUCGUUCAAGAGUUACCUAACCGCAUUUCAAAUAUUUCUUCCAAUACCACCACAUAAUGUUUAACACGUGGUUUGGACUAAAAUUAAUCUUUGAACGUUAUUAAAUACCUAACUAUGGUUUGUAAUACCUAAUUAUGGUUUGUAAUAAGGACAAGACUAUAUGUAUGAUGGGGUUUAUUUAUGAAUGUUAUUAAAUGUUUUUGUAUUUUUGUGGUUGUGGAUAUGCAUGUUGAUAUUGGAAUUCAAUGGCCAUCUUUGAAGUUGUAUAAUGUGUACAAAAUUCUCUAUGGAUAAUCCACAUACGUGUCAUUUUCGAUGGUCCACCCCCAUGGUAACUCUUUUCUGCAUCAAGUUGAUGGACAAUCUCAUUAAUGGGAAUGUCUCGAUAUCUGGGGGGUUUCCACGACAUGUGCAAGAAAGAAUUGCUCAAGAGAUUAGUGUGGCUUACGGUGUGCAAUUGAGUCGGGAUCACGUAAGGAGUAUGGUGAAGGUGCUAAAGAGACAGUACCAAGAAAUCAAUGACUUGUGCCUGAUGGAAGGAUUUGUGUUUGAUCCCACGACAAACAUGGUUAAGGCUGAUGAUGUUGUAUGGAAUGAUGUCAUUGAAACAAAGCCUUGGGUGGCAAGCAUGAGGACCAAAAAUUACCCAAACUACCCAUCCCCAAUUACUAUCUUCACUGAGGAUCUACCAAUGGAUAUGUAUUAGUUUUAUUUGCUUCAACAAUCUUCUGUUUUAUACAUCCUGGGAUAGUGUUCGAAGAACGAACCCCCAACUUCAUCUAUGUAAUCAACUUUUUAUAUCGUUUUAUGUAAUGACACCCUUUUUAUUAAAUACGUUUUAUUUUUUUUUUAUCAAAAAUUUGGUUUAUGAAAUGCCCCCCUUUUUAAUUAAAAAUAGGAGGGGGACCCCCCCCCCCCCCCCCACACACACACACAACCCACCAACUUUAUUUCUAUGCAUGUAAUGUCCCCCUUUUCAAUUAAUAAUUCUAUAUCUAUUUUAUUUUUGUUAUAAUAGUAUUUCACAACACAUAACAUUCUUUUAUAAUGUAGACAAUGGAACAAGGUGGACCAAGUAACACCAAUGACUACUAUGUUUUGAAGCCAUGGAACGUUGGUAAGAACGGAAAGGGUUCUUGUAGGAUGGUAAGUACUUUACCAUUAUUUUUUUUAAUAUAUGAUAUGAGACCACAUGUUGGUGCUUUUGCAUUAUUAUCAUGGCCCACAUAUUUAAGCUUUUAUUGUGAUGGCCCACAUGGAGAAAUCUACUUUUAAUGGACUAUUCUUGUUUUAAUGGACCAUACAGUAUGUAUGACGAAAAAUUCAUUCUAGACGACAUGUUUUGAUGGACUACACAGUAUUUGUUUGUAAUAAUGAUAUUUAUGUUCAUGGGACGCAACACAUUAUCGACAAAUGAUUUCUGUGUACACAACUUUUUAUACAUGACAGCCACAAUGAAAAUGACUAUGUUUGUUAAUUACAUGCAGCCGAUUCCGGCUGUUCUUACCAGUGGCCUCCGACAAGACCAACCUGUCGAGCUUCUUGUUGGGUUGCGGGUGUACAAUGAUCUGGAGAUAAAUGUGGACCCGUAUGGUCACUUUUCUUUCAAGACUGCAGGGUGGAGAGGUGUCGUUCAAGGGAAACACUUGGACGUGGGCGACCAGGUGUUGUUGAGGAUUCAACAUUUCGGUAAGGGGAGAUACUCUGGUGUUACCCUCGACAUGCUUGUAAGGAGGAAACAAGCUCGCAGGCAGCAGCGCAGUUCUUCAGCAGCACCAGGCUCUUCAGCAGCAACAGCAGGUCCUUCAAUAGCACGCACUGCCUCCACUGUCCGUCGCACCACCAAUCGCAAGAUUUUAGCACCACCUGCACCUUCUACCUCCUCUUCAGCCUCCUCAGAUUCGGACUCCUCCUCUACCAGUGGUGGUCUCUCAGCUCAGGCUUCGCCCAAUACUGAUGAGAACGUUGAAGUCGAUGCAUAUGGCAACAUCAUCGACUACGACGACAGUGACUAUGAACCGGUCGAGACACAGGUAGCAAGGACUGCGUCUGAUCCGAUCAUUAUUUCGGAUGAGGAGUGAAGAUGUGAGGGUAGAAAUGGUUUCAUGACUUUGACAAUUUCGUCACUACUUGAACUGUGAACUGUAUGUGUGUAUGGAUAUUUCUAGGAUUCUGUAGUAUGGAUGGAUAUUUUUUUUUCUAGUAUGGAUAAUAUGGAUAUAUUAUGACAGGUUGCUUGUUAAUAUGGAUAAUAUGGAUAUAUUAUGACAGGAUAUAAUAUGGAUAAUUUGACAAUUUCGUCACUACUUAAAUUUAUGUUGCUUGUUAUAACAGGUUAUUACGUUUGAUACUUGUUAAGGUAUAUUAUGACAUAUCAUGACUGCCCAUGUUAAGGUAUAUUAUGACUGCCCAUGUUUACAAGUGAUAUUUUUCAAUUUUAUCACGCUAAAUUGUUUACAAUGUAGAUAAUAUUUAUCAACGGUAUGAGAAGCGAUAUUUUACAAUGUGAUAAAUAUUGUAAGAGCAAUGAUUGUUUUGGAAAAAAAUAAAACAAUAUGUAUGGAAGUUUGUAAUUCUUUAUUGAAGCCCAAUUGGGGUUUAUCCAAUUUCGCCAAUAAUAUGGAUAAUUCGUUUAAACAAAAUAUUGGAUAAUUCUUUUAAACAAAAUAUCUUGGUCAUAUCUUUAUUUCAUUGUGUAUAUCUUUACUUACAAUAAAAUUUCUUCUAUCAAAUAAAAUAAAAUAAUAAUAAUAAUAGUAAUAAAAAUAAGACAUUUGUUCAAAAAUCAAAUACUAUAUUUGUAUUUGUAUUAUCGAAAAUCAAAUUAUUAAUACAUUUGUUGAGGUGUGGAUAAUAUACAUUUGUAAUGACCCAUAUCAAAUUCAAAGAGUCCAUGGCCCAUAGUUAUACUUCAUAUGUUACCAGAAUAGCCCUUUAUCGUACUUGGCCCAUAGCCCAAUAUGAAUGGAUAAUGACCCAUAUCACAAUCAAAGAGUCCAUGGCCCAUAGUUAUUUGUGAUUCACCAGGUAUGCAAAACGUUAUCAAACACCGGUUAAUUCGGCGAAUUCUGUUGCCUAACAUUUACCCAAGAUGUUAACAAACACAGGUGAAUCCGGCAAAUUAUUUUCGACCUGGUUGACCAUUCCCCAAACCCUGCUUUUACCCGGUUGACCAAAUUUACCGGUAAAUCGUCCCAAAAUAUUCACCGGUUAUCAAACAGACCCUAUAUGUUCACGUCAAAUAGAGUGACUAGAGUUUGUACCUUCAAAAGUUGAAACCUUGAUGAAACUUAAGAAAAUAAAAAACAAUGCUACCCAAGUUUCCUCCUCCCUGUUAUAAAAUAGUUCUAUUCCAUGUAUUCAUUAGGAAUCCAAAUGUAUUCAUUAGACGGUGCUUGGUUCACAGAAUCCAAACUCUAGGAAUCCAGAGGGUAUCGUUGGAAUAGGUUAUCGUAUUGUAGAGAGAGCGAUCAAAAGGGAGAGAAGCAGAGUCUAAAAUACGUGAAAUUCUGGCAAGAGAUCACGACUAGACAUACUUGUUCAAUUAAAUAUGGAAACUUGUUUCUAUUGAAUAAAGGAAACCGAAUUCCAUCGGUUAACCUUAAGCCGAAUUUUUGUUUCCUCAAUUGUAUCCUAAAAUACAGAGAUUUGAGAUGGAAACUAGUGUACGCAACUAUGCAUAAACAUCAUUACCUAUUAGAUAUUUCUUGUUUAGCAAUUGAAUACCAUUUUUUUAAUCAAAGUAAUACUAUUUUAUUCAUUCGAACUGUUAAAGUUGUACAACAAAGUGGAUUAUUACGUCACAUUGUAGCUCAAUCCUCACAUUGGCAAUACACUCAAUCCUCACCUGGUCUGUCAGUUGGGUUAGCACAACCCGCUUGGAUUGAAUCCACAUAUAUACAACAAUAAAAAUGUACAUCCACACCUCAAUAGUUUACAAGAUUACAAAACCAAUACUACCCAGCUUAAAGGGCAGCAAAGUGCAGCAACGCCAAACAACAUCAGUAACUAGCAGCAAUAACUGCACAACAACGACAACAAAAAAUGACUAGUACAAUUUCCUUGAUCACUUCUAAGUCCACUUGCCUUUUUGUGAUAGAGAAAAAAAAAUUAUCUGUGUUCCCUAAUUAUAUGUGUGUAACACCCAUGAGUUGGUGUUAUCCCACAUUUCCAAGGAAGUGGUUGUAUUGGUAGUAUAUAGGGCUCAACCAUACUCUAACUAAUGUCAAGGCCUUUUGGGGUAAACCAGAUGGGUGGGCCCUGAUUCAAAACCCUCUACUGUUGGAUAUCUGCAGUGACCAAAGGGGGACAAUAUUGAUAUUGGCGAGCGGUAUGGUGCUCGACGCACUAGGAUGAGCGAAGACAAAAUCCCGGGGCAUUACAGUUGGUAUCAGAGCCGAUAACGGAUCGCCUGUUGCAGGUGGGAAAUACGCUGGAAAGGCCCAGGGAGCGCCAGGUACUUGUCUCACUUGGCAGGGAACGUCAGAGAUUUUGGGACUGUACUGAGUGUACUGCAGAGCCGAGGAAGGCUCUUUUUCUAAGGUGGUGGGAUUGUAACACCCAUGAGUUGGUGUUAGUCCCACAUUGCCAAGGAAGUGGUUGUAUUGGUAGUAUAUAGAGCUUAACCAUACUCUAACUAAUGUCAAGGCCAUUUGGGGAAAACCAAAUAAGUGGACCCUGAUCCAAAACCCUCUACUGCUGGAUAUCCGCAGUGACCAAAGGGGGACAAUAUUGACAUUAGCGAGCGGUAUGGUGCUCGACGCACCGGGAUGAGCAAGGACGAAAUCCUGGGGCGUUACAAUGUGGGUGUGUACACCCGGCUAGUCAAAGAACAUUAACCAUGAUUCUUUGUAGUUGUCUUUCAUACAGUACCAGUAAUUCCAACUAGAUGUCCCUUUAAAACUAUCCCAGGCGUAAAUACCUAUCUUCUCACCCGCAUAUAUCCAUACUUCUCUACAAACGGACAAACCCCAUUUACACAUACACGGUGAGUGAACAAAAUCCCAUUUUAAAAUUUGAAGGGAAUAUACAGUAUUUGAUUAUUAGCUAUGGAAUAGCAUCAGUAAAAUACCUUUGUAGAAUUUGAAGGGACUAUACAGUCUUUGAUUAUUAGCUAUGGAAUAACAUCAGUAAAACACCUUUGUAGCUGGAAAAAAUGAGUACCAAUAGGGUAGUAACUACCAUUUAAAGCUUCGAACCCAAACCUUUGUUGCUUCUUAAAUAUACCAACAACACUCAUAAUCUAUAUUUUCCAUCUAUAUAUUUCCAUCGAAAUAGGUAAUUUAUCUUUUGGGUAAAUUAGCUAUUUUGGGUCUUCUUGUUGAGGUCUUCUUUAAGGUUGAUUUUCAAAUAUAGUUUUCUUUUUUGGCAAUUUUGAUCCUUUGGUUAUGAUGGUGUUUUCCAAAGUUUUAAUGGUGGGUUGAAGCUUAGGUGUCUUUCUUUCUCUCAUCUCUAGUCUCUAUCGUUGUUCUUUGGUUCCUAUCUAGAUGAUUUUGUUUUGAUGAUUUGGCAUUUUCUUAGAAGAUCUUGAUUUCAGGUUUUCAGCCAGUUACUCGAGUUCUUACUUGAGUUGUAUCGUCCCUUUUCUACCUUGCUAUCUUAUGUUCUUCUUACUUCUAUGAUUUUUCAUAGUUUUCUUCUUUGUUUAACCUUACCUUCCUUUCUUGUUGCAAUUUCAAUCCUUGAUUAUGUUGGUGUUUUCGCACAUGCUUUUGGGGGAAUAAGGAUCUGUUCUUCUUACUUGUAUGGAUUUUCAUAGUUUUCUUCUUUGUUUAACCUUACCUUCCUUUCUUGUUGCAAUUUUAAUCCUUGAUUAUGUUGGUAUUUUUGCACAUGUCUUUGGGGGAUUAAGGCUUAGGUGCAUUGCAGUUUAAAGUAUUUCUCAUCUUUGAUUUAGAGUUGUUUUCUGCAUUCUUGGUCGGUUUGGUUUUGGUUAAGCUUAGUUUUAGUUUUGAUUGUUCGUGGAUGUUUUGGAAGAUUGUUGUUAGUGGAUGUAUUAGUUAAUCUUUGUUUAAGGAUAAGCCUUGUUUCUAUAAUACCUUCAUUGAGUAUACUCUUGGGGAUCUUGUAUGUAUUCUUGAGCUUUAAUUUAUAGUAUAUAGAAGAACAAUCUUUUAACAAAAACAAAUUGUAGAUACAAACUUUUGGAUCUAAUAACUAUUUUUUGAUCCCUAACUUUGCCGAAAUUUUCAGUUGAGUCCCCAAAGUUUAUAUUGGUCAAUUUGGUCCUAAAUUCUAAUAUGUUAUUGUAAAGAUCUUUAUGAUCUUAUUUUGGUCAAGCUUCUAUAAAACUAGCCGUUAUUUCAUACAUUAUCGUUUUGGUGUAUUACGGUACAAGUGCUUGUACACCCUCCGAUCUUCCAUGUGGACUCAAGUGAAAACUUGCUACCGGUUAGUCUAAAGUCAACAAAAAUUUGCCUUUUAAAGGAUGUGGACAAACAUGUGGAAGCUCAUGGCCCACCAUUCUCUCUUCAUCUUUCUUCUCUCUUCCUCUUUCUCUCUCCCUUUUAAAUGAUGUGGACAAACAUAUGGAAGCUCAUGGCCCACUUCACUCUCUCUUCAUCUUUCUUCUCUCUUCCUCUUUCUCUCUCCCUUCAUCUGUGAGGAAAAAAAGCUUUCCUUUACGUUAAUGGUUUUUUACUGAUUCGAGCUUCAAUUUCUCUAUUUUUUUUUUCCAACUAUGUUUAUUUCUUUUUUGUGAGACUUUGCAUCUUUUCCCCAAUUUCUAAGGUUCUAUUUUUUGUUCUCUAUCAAGAAUUUGGGUAUGAUUUUUCUAUCAAUUUCUCUAUUCUCUCUCCCAUCGUCUGUGAAGUUUUUUUUCUAACAAUGAAGUCUUGCUUACUUGAUUAUGGAUCUUUAGCUCAAAUGGCAUAGCACUUGGGAUAUGUUUUGGGCAAUUUCGCAAUAAUACCAAGAUGAUGGUGGUUCAAAUCCACCAAGAUCCAUUUUGAUUUUGAUUUUUAUUAAUCAAAAAAUAAAUCAUUACAAUCCUGGUCACCAUGCCUUAAUUGGCACCGGCCACCGGCUGGUAAUCCAUUAACUACUUGAAAAUUACAACCUAUAGACAAGAUUUCGCUCUUAUUGUUUCUUUAAUUUUAUCAUCCAUAUAGCAAUUUAUGUCAUUUAUAUAACCAUUUUUGGCAUGUAAAUGUAUAAUAUUAUCAUGUAUGUAUAUAAUGUUCUCAUAUAUAUUUGAUCUUAUUGGUUCUUUUUAUUUUCCAUCCAUAUAGCUACUUGUGUCACUUAUAUAACCAUUUUUGGCAUAGAAAUGUAUAAUGUUAUCAUGUAUGUAUAUAAAUAUUUAAUCUUAUCGUUUCUUUCUAUUUUCCAUCCAUAUAACUACUUGUAUCACUUAUUUUCAUUAUCCAUACCAUAAGCUAUAUCACACACCAUUUCAUUAAAAGAUGAGGUUUGGCUUGGACCUCUACCCGUCUAUAGAUGUGGUGGGAUGUAUCCCACAAUUUACAUAAGUCCAAUGGGUAAAUAGAGGUGCAUAAAGCAAAAUAGCCAGAAAGGCUUGAGUCAGGCCCAAGGGGUUUGGGGAAGUUCAUCCAUUAGUGCUCUGGUUUCUGCCAGGUUGUUGGAGCCUUCACCAUAGUAGGAGAAGAAGUUUCCAAUGUGGUGUCCUUCGUUGUUUCUGAUGAUACCCCAUGCAUCUGGACUUAUAUCAUUUAUGUUUAAUCUUAUGUAUUUAGUUGAUAUGUGUCAUCCAUUCAAGCAUUUGUGUCACUCAUAUUCUACUUUAUGUCAUUAAAAUGGAUAACUUUGUCAUGUAAUUUCACAGAUGUUUGAAUUUUACUGCAUAAUAAACAGGCAUUCAACAAUAGGAAGGAUGAAAUUUCACAGAUGUUUGAAUUUUGCUUCAUUCAUCCUUUAGACGCCAAAAAGAAUCCCCGUUUUGACUAGUGGGCAAAUAAGCGCCGCCAAUAUCCGACACAGACGAAUCUGUACCUAUAGACGAAACAAAGAACAACUUAUUAUAAUCCUCAUUAAAAUCACUUUAACACUACCAUUGCAUUCCUAUAACUUACUUUCGUGUAUGCGUAGACAACCAAUCUUAUUAUGGCCGACUUCACCGCACGACCCGCAUGUGAUGAUCCCACGAGUAGAAGCUCUUCGGAUGUCUGACACAUCAGCAUUGACUACAGGUGUUUUGGCCGUCGCAGUACCGUUAUCAAAAGGAUCUGGUUCAUCUAUGUUUGUUGAGCCACCAUAUAAUGUUCAGACAACAUACAAAAGAUAAUUCUUUUAAAUAAAAACUAAUUUUCUUACUUUUGAAUCUGCUGCGCGGACAACCAAUCCUAUUAUGGCCGACUUUACCGCACAAGCCGCAUGUGAUUUUCCUACGAGUAGAAGCUCUUCGGACGUCUGACACAUCAGCAAUGACUACAGGUGUUUCGCCUGUCGCAGUACCGUUACCAAAAGGAUCUGGUUCACCUAUGUUUGUUGGGCCACUAACAUAUAUCAAGACAACAUACAAAAGAUAAUUCUUUUACCUAAAAUACAAGGUCCACGGAUGAAUCCUACCUAUUUCAAAAUCCUCUUCAUGAUCAGUGACCUCAUCAUCACUGAGUAGAUCUACACAUCCCCAAAUUAACAUAACACAACAAAAAAUGUGUAAGUAGAUGUACAUCUUCUGGUACUAUGGGUUAUUUAAAUUGUAAAUGAAACAAAAACUAAGGGAAAAAAGAAUGAGAGAGUUACUGGGGCAUGUCCUCUUUGUAUGGCCUACCAAGUGACAAAUUCCAUAUCUUCUGGUACUAUGUUGGUAUAUUUUCCGUUUUGCGAACCUCUUUGGUCGAGCUCGUGGUGGAUCAGUAAUUUUGUCAGGGGUUCCCCCUACAUGUCGCGGAGUAGACACCAGGUCCUCCUCAAAACCCAUGUGAUGGUCUGGGUCGGGUACUUGAUCAAACCCUGGUGCUACAUCUUCCAACUGACCCUUGUCAAAUUCAGCAAUGUAGGAUUUCACCCUAUUGUGCAGAUUUACAGGCCCACAUAAACAAGUCACGAGCGCAAUUAUCAAGGUCAUUUAAACGAAGUCCAAAGCCAAGAUUGUGUGAAGAUGGAUGUGUUUCAACAUCUAUACCAAAUGAUUUAGUCAUACGAUUCCACCUGCGUAGAAUGCAGGUUUUGGGCAAUUCAGAGACAUGGGUAUGCUUUAAAACAGCAAGUAUAUGUCUACACACAAACCCAACUCUCUCAAAGAGCUUGCACGUGCAACUGUAUGCAUCCUUGGCUUUGAUGUAUUCGACAGUUUGUGGGGCAUUAGGAUACAUCUAACGGUUCACCAGGUAUUGGAUUAUGUCAACUCCAUCCUCAUAUGUCUCAUUUACAACAUAUAAUGGCUCAUGCAACAACUGCUUAUAAAGAUACUCAUAACCUGCCCGAGUAUACACUGCUUCAGUUCGCUUUGCAAUGACACUUAAGUUGGGAAUUUGUGUUGAGGUGGUCAUAACAGUACUAACCUCUGCUUCAAAGUCGCGGUGGCGAAUAUGCUUGACUUUCAUAUCCAAUUUCUCUACAAGCUCAAUCAAGGUUAGGCCAGACUUUACGCAAAGCCGCACAACAGAGUUAAUACUUUCGCAAUGCUGGUUGCUUCUACACCCAACAAAGAAAUCUUCCCUUAAAUACGCCUCUGCCCACAUUUCCUUUUUUAAAUAUAUAAAUUGAACCCAUUUCUUCGCAGCCACAUCCGGCCAUUUUUUUAACAAUUCAUCCCACUUCUUCUCAAAUUUUUAUGGAGGUCCUUUACAAAACAUACAGCCAACAAAGUCUUUGGUAAAUCCAUCAGUACGAACAUUGGUAAUGCAAUUUUGGGCGUCGUGCCAUACACACAAACGAUGUCUACUUUUCGGUAAGAGUAGUUCAAUAGCCCUGUGAAUUGCUGCAUCAUCAUCCGUGAUCACCGAUUUAGGAGCGACAUUUUCCAUUGCCGCAAGAAAUGUUCCCAAGGCCCAUACAUAAGAUUCGGUGGUCUCAUUAUUCAUCACUGCAAAGGCAAAGACCACGGUAUGCCGGUGGUUGUUCACUCCGGCGAACACGACAAGAGGCAUGCCAUAACGAUUGGUCCGGUAUGUCGAGUCAAACAAGAGAACAUCACCGAAGAGCUUGUAAUCCUCUUGUGACUGGGAGUCGGCCCAAAACAAUUUCUGUAACUGUUUGUCUUCAUUAACUUGUUGCUUUUUGAAAAACCCAGAAUCAGUGAUAGAAAUAUUCUCCAUAUAAGCGUUCACAACAUUGACAUCCCCAACAGAAAUAUGCUCAACCCUUGCUCUAUUCAUUUGAUUGUACAAGUCACGGGCAAUACAUCCGGCUAAUGCAUGACUGCCAGACUUUGCAACGAUCAGAUCCAUAAUUAAUUUUUUACUCACUCCCAAGCUAUAAAGGUUUUGGCCCAAAAGUGCAUUUGUCAUACUCACUUUCCUAUGCGAUCUCAAAAAUUGUGAACCUUCACUUGGUGCAAAAACAUGGUUGUGUUUGGAUAUAAAACCACACACUGUCCACACUUUCAAUGAUUCAGAAUAUAAUAUGUGUAUUAGUGCAGGACAAUUGCACCUGGUUAUCCGACGGGGUUAUUUUUGCCGCUUGUAAAAUCUGGUCCACUUAUCCAAUCGCUUACCUGCACAUGAACAGAUAAAUCUUCUUCUAAAUGUUUGACCAUUUUUUACAUCUUUCAGGUCUUUACGAACACUAAACUCUUUAAACCUGGCAUACUCGUUAUAGAACAUGUACGCUUCUUCUUCUGUAUUGAAACGUGCGGCCAAAAUGUCGGCAUCAGAAAACUCACGGAUAUCCUCUCCAAUUUCUUCUUGGAGCCUUAAACCCACCCUACAUAGAAAAUCCACAUUCUUUCCCAUAGAAAUGUCACCCUCAGCCUCACUAUCAUCAUCACUAACUUCUUCGACAAAUUCUUCAUCACAAGACAACAUAGUGUGAUCCAUGCAAAAUGCUUACACCCAAUUAACAAUAAAGCGGUUUAACUGAUGAAAUUCGGACCAAAUCUCCAAUCAACUGAAUCUGUACUGUAGGCUAUUGCAGAACAACUAACCACUACUGUAAUCUUUAGACAUAGUUUUAAGUAACAAUGCAGCACUUGUAUAUCCACCAUCACAUCACAAGCACCGAAACACAAUUUUUUUGGACAUAUGGACCACUAAUUUUAGCUGUUAUUUGGUACAUUUGCUCCACUAAUUACUCAAAUUAGGUUAUUUACAGAUCUAGAAUUUGAAAAGAAGAAGAUAAAACUUAACUUCAAAAUAGUCGUUUAGAAGAGUUUAAUGUGAAGAGACAAAUGAUUUUGGUAAGUUCAAAGCUUAGUGCUCGUCUUAAAUAACCAGCCACAAGGAACUUCAAAUACAUGAAGCCAUAACCAAAAUACAAAAUAGAGCUCACUAACCUUAAUUUCAAUCUUUAAUUGAUAGAAUGGUAGAGAUAAAUCCGUUGAUAGAAGAAAAAAAAUUGCUCGAAGCCGUUCAGAGAACACUUCCCAAAUUUUGAGAGAGAGAAGAACACUAUUCAAAUCUGAAAUUGUGUGUUUUACUUCUGUCUGAAUUUGGACAACACCGUGGUACACGUGUUUUUAGGGGCCCACAAAUAGUAAAUACCAAUUAAAACAUGUUUGUUUAUAAGGGCCCAUAAAUAGUCAAUUUUGUGUUUUACUUCUUGUUUCUUUGUCUUUUGGGCUUUUAGAUUGGGCUUCAAUCAGGCUUUUAGCUACAUAAAGGAGGCCCAAACCCUUGUUCUCUAAAAUUUGUAAACCACCUUAUAUCCCUACCAAAAUUUCCUACUUCAUUUGGAAACUAAUUCACAAAGCCCUUCCUGUGGAUUCUGCCAUCAUAGCCUGCCACAUCCCUAUUGUCUCCAGAUGCAGUUGCUGCCUUAAACCUGACAAUGAAUCCGUAAAUCAUCUUUUCUUCCACAGUGACAUCGCCACUUAUAUUUGAGAUCACUUCCACACCAUCACCAACCUCAGUUGGCCCAAAAUCAGAACUCUUCACACUACCCUCUCUCUUUGGCUCUUUCAAGGUAAACCUGGCACUAUGGAACAAUUCAUUCACACCACCAUUGCCACCACCAUUCUUUGGGAAAUUUGGAAAGAAAGGUGUAAAAGAAGAAUGGAAGAAGGAUAUCAGAUAAGCCAAAACAAAACUAAAGCCAUUGUCAUUAAAGUUAGAUAUUGUUGUUUAAGACUGGCCCCUGUUUCUGUGAAAUUGCAUGACAAAGAUAUCCAUUUUAAUUAAGUAGAAUAUGAGCGACACAAAUGGAUGAUACAUAUCAACCAAAUACAUAAGAUUAAACAUAAACGAUAUAAGUCUAGAUGUAGGAUAGCAUUACACAUUUGAAUGACCUAAACCAAAAUAUGAGUGACCCAAAUGCUUACUUGGAUGACAACGCUACUCAUUUUAAAGACAUGAAGUCCACACAUGAUUGGCUUAUGCAUUUAUGCUCCCCAUGAUAGUCCUUGAGGAACAGAAGCUUCUGGUUCAUUGUAGUCCAUGAUAAUUCCACAGUCUUCACAUAAUAAACUAUACCAUCUGUGUGUACCGUCAUUUGGAAUUAUGUUACGAUGGUCACAUAUUUCUCUUCUCAAACUGUUUAUUUUUUUAGUAGCCCAAUACCACCCAUGUUCGCAUCUCCAAAUUGCUUCUGCGGCUUCUUGAAGCUUCACAUGACAUACCAGGAGGGCUUUUCGCACAUCAGGAUCGUUCAUGUCCUCUCUUUCACUCUGCCGUAUAGCCAAUGCAACAAUCAUUUCUUUGGCCUUCGAGCGAUAGACAUCCAACCGCUUCACAAGUUGAUUUACUUGAUCAAUUUCCCCUACACAUAAAUUAAUAUUGAUUUUUACAACAAAAACAACCAAAAUGUUUAGUAAAGUCCGCCCUUGGCCUUGUACCAAAAACCAAAAAUAUUGUUUUUUUUUUUUUUUUUUUUGAUAGAUAAUCUGAGGGGGUUUGGCAUGGACCCUAUUUGUAAAUAACAAGUGUGAAACGGGGGGGGACUUAAAGCCUUACCCCUAGCAAGUGGUUCAGGGCUCAAAUAGAACUAGCCCUAGCCUCUGUAGGGCCUUGGGAGAGGAGUCUGAAAAGUGUUGACUGCGGUGCAAAUAACUAGAAGAUGAAGCGCCAACUGCAUCUUCUACUCUUCUAAUAACUUGCACCGCAUUCAAGCACAUCUAAGUUCAUCCAUGGCGAACAAAGUUCCAAGUUCAGUGUCAACUUCAGAUGAAGAUCCUCCAAAGAUACCAAAAUAUUGCUUCAAGCAUAAACAACCAUAAAUUGACAUACCUGGAACAUGAUCCCUGAGCGACCUUUCCAAAUCAACAUUGCCUUUGUAAAAGCUUGGUUGGAGGUUGAGGUAAUAAUCAUAAAAGGCCAACAAUUCACCCAAAAAAGGUAUACUCAGUAUUUUUAUGGGUAUAAAUGUUGUGAUACGUGAAGAUGAGUGGGGAAGAGAUGGGUUGUAUGUCUGUAUCUAACUAAGUAUAUAUAAUCAUCUUCACUAGGCCAAACCGUCAAGCACUGACUGAAAUUAAUGCACCCUUUGAACCUUUUGCACCGAGUCCGGGUAUUAUGUAGCCAGCAACAGAGAUGCGAUCUCUGUUGCUUCUUAAAAAUUCUGCCACGUGUUUCAUAUUUAAUGCCUAACCAAACGUCUGAUUUCUCCGUUAGAAAAAAACCAGUAAAAAGAAUAAAAAAUAAUAAUAAUAAACAAACCAAACUCUUCUCUUACUCCAUAUACAAUUGGAUUUUAAUAUUUGUCAUUAAUUUGGUUCCAUGUAAAGAUGUCAAAUAUUUUGGAUUAUUUCCAUAAAAAAUACACUGUUACUUGUUGAUUAGAUAAUGUUUCUUCCAUUUGCAACAAUUGAAAUAAUUCUAAAAGGAAAAAUGAACAUUCAUAUAUCUUUCUCUGAACACAGUUGGUGCCCACUCAAACACAGUUUUAAACAAUCUUGUUCUGAUGAAUAUGAAGUAUUGUAUAUGAGAGAAGUUGGUAUCUGGCUAUCUGCUGUAGAGGAAAGAGAAGCAAGGUAGAGUGGGAGAGAAGAAACCAGAGAUUGAACGGAGUUUAACUUUAUGGGUUUUCUUCUGUUUAAGGUUUUUUUAUAUAUUUAAUAAAUAGAAAAAAUAAUUCAAAGAAAAAUGUUAACAGAGAAAUAGUCCGUUUGGGUAAGUGUUAACCAUAGACACGAGGAAGAAACUUCAAAGAAGCAACAGAUAUGGGAUCUCUGUUGCUGCCUACAUUGCACCUUUUCAAAAUGCAACCUUUUUGAGCAUUUAAGAACUUAUAAUAAAAAACUCUUACCUAUGUGCCACCCCUAAAAGCCUUUUACCAUUGAAAAUGCUCUAAAUUACCCUUUUAAAAUGCAAUCUUUUUAUUUCAAUAUGUGCGUGAUUUGCACGUGUAGUUAUUAGGAAAAUGAAAUGAAAUAAAAUUUCAAGUUUUGAAAUUUUCGUUCUAAAAGGGUAAGAGGAACCAAUUUCUUUCAAUCUAAAAGGGUAAGAGGAACCAAGUUUUGAACUUUUAGUCGGAAUUCCAUAACAAGUCUUACAUAACAAGUCCUAAAUAUCACAUUUAGAAUAUAGUAUGUGUAUUAGUGCAUAAGAUUAAACAUAAAUGAUAUAAGUCCCAGAUGCAGGACAACAUUACAGAUUUGAAUGACCUAAACAACAAUAUGAGUGACCCAUUUAAAUACAUGAAGUCCACACAUGAUUGGCUUAUGCAUUUAUGCUCCCCAUGGUAGUCCUUGAGGAACACUAGCUUUUGGUUCAUUGUAGUCCAUGAUAAUUCCACAGUCUUCGCAUAAAAAUAUACCAUCUGUGUGUACCGUCAUUGGGAAUUAUGUUACAAUGGUCACAUAUUUCUGUUCUCAAACUGUUUAUUUUUUUAGUAGCCCAAAACCAUUCCAUUUUUUUAGUAACCCAAAUAUGUGUUUAUUUUCCAUUUUAAAUUUUAGAGAUUUUUGGACAUACCCCAUUUUGAAAGUCUAAAUUUGAGAUACCCCAUUUGAAAGUCGAAAUUUUAGAUAACAAGCCCCAUUUGAAAGUCGAAAUCAAAACGCAAAACUGAAGUUGAUGAUGAAGAAAACAACAAGAAGAUCAUGGUUACUGUUAGAUGCUCUUUGAAUAAGUUGGAAAGCCAUUACAUCGGGAGAAAAAAUGGUGAUAAAGAUACGUUAGACAAAGGAGAAACUCCAAUACCGGAAUCAGAGAGGCUGGGAUUUAGGGCUUCACCAUUUGGUAAUUUUCUUGAACUUCAAACAAAAGAAAUUCACAUGGUUACAGGUAUUGUAAGCGAAGUGUUGAAGUAUAGGGUUGUUCCUUUGAAGUAUAGAAUAUGGGGUAUUGAUCUAACUUUCACGCCUAUGGAUGUGGCUCUUAUUCUUGGUUUGAGGAUCGGUGAAGUGCCGAAGUCCUUUCUGUUGAGGAAAAAGACCGAAGUUAGUGAUUUUAGGUUGAAUUAUUUUGGGAAAAAAACCCCUCCAGGAGCAAAGGAGAUCAAAGAAGCACUUAUCCGGGCGCGCAAUGACCCUGCCGCUGAUGUUGACGACGUUCAUCGGCUGAAUUGUCUUUACCUUUUCGCAAUUUGUUUGCUACCUGAUAGUUCAAAGAAGGUGGAUGUGAGGUAUGUUGAUCUUGCCGCAGAUUUGUCCGAAUUUGAUAAGUUCCCUUGGGGAACAAUUGUAUUUAAGUUGCUUCAUGAAUCAUUGGAAGAAGCCUAUAAUUUUGUUAAAGUUGAUAAAGAUAAGUACAGCAUACAUGGUUGUGUGUUAGCCUUCAUUAUUUGGGCGUACUUGCAUUUGCCCGACCUCCUAGAAGAAAACUAGAGAAUGCAAGAUUUCAAAGGAUGUUGGACUGAGAAUUUUUGCCGGGUCCUAACACAAAUAGGACUACGAUUAAUAGAAAGUUGCAGCCCCAAAAAAACUUUUCAGGGUGUCAUACCCGUUGUUAACAUCGACAAGUGAGGGGCUUGACCCAGUUGUAGCAGAAGCCUUAGAGGUAUACAAUCCAACCUUUUGAUUACAGUCUCAUAUUUGGUUUAUUUACCCAUGUGUAAUAUGAGACAUUUUAUCACCAGAAUGACUUAUGAGUAUUUCACUUAAAACUUAUUUUUGUUGUCUUGUAUGUUUUCUAUUUCUCAACCAUGCACACUAAACCAAUGAUAAUGUAGUAUAAAUCCCAACUUUUUAUCACUUUGCCGAAACAUUUUUCUCACCAUAAUCCAUUAUUUUCUAUACCUAAAUUAUGUGAUAUACUAUUGGCAGUUUGGAGACCAAGCAAGAUCAAUUGGAACUACUUAUCUUCAACAACCACCAGAUCAGCCAGAUCAGAUGAUUACUAUACCAAUCAAUACCCUCACAGCUAUUCUGAAGGCAGUGGUAAUUAUAUUUUAUUAUGUCUUCAUUCAUAUAGCUAUUUGUGCCUUUCAUAUAGCCAUUUCUGGCUUUCAAAUGGUGGUUUUUACGUUUGAUUUUACCUUUCUUGUUUUUUCUAUACAGGUCACAACUAUUGUUGAAGAAGCCCAGGGUGAUAGGAUUGUUAAGAGUGUAAUUGAUAUGGUUGCCCUUCAAGCAGGUGCUUCCACCAAAUCAAUGCCAGGAAAUCCUGUUAGCAAGCAUACAAAAGCAAGAGGGAAUCCCAAAAGAAACACCACCACCAACAACAAACAAGCAUCCACAAAAGGUAACGAGAAGGUUGACACAACAAGUGGAUCCCCAAGGUCAGAAAAAAGCAGGAAUGAAGAACAUUCAAAAUCAGAUGAAAAUACUACCAUAUCCAAGAAACAUGAAGGAUAGCAAGAUGAAUGUGAAGACAAUUCUCCAGCGAAGAAACAAAAUAAUUCAAACUUUGAGCAAACGACAACCACUGAUGAAUUUCAAUUCGUUAGAUCAAGAGAACCAAUGGCAAAAAAAUCUACAGGGGAAGAAGCAGAACCAGAUGAGGAGGUUGAUGUAGGAGUGGAUAAUUUUGAUGUAAUGUAUGAUACAGAGCAAGAAGCAAAACAAGAUGAGGAGGUUGAUGUGAGAAUGGAUGAUUUUGAAGUAAUGAAUGAUACCGAGCAAGAAGCAAAACCAGAUGAGGAGGUUGUUGUGAGAAUGGAUGAUUAUGAAGUAAAGAAAGAUUCUGAGAGAAAAAACAAGGAUACCAAGACCAUAAUGAAGAAAGAAAAGAGCACUCUGCCAUCUAGACAACAGCCUGAAAGGAAAGGUAAGGUGGCGAUAAAUUCUUAUAUAAGAAAUCUGAGACAAAGGAAUGAAGGGUUAGAAAACAAGAAGAAAAGGAAAGUUACGGGCGAGGAAGGAGAAGAAACAUUAUUGAUGAUUAAGAACAAAAAAGUACAGUUUGCCCAGGGAACUGAAAACGAACAAACAUGCCUGAAGAUGAGAAACUGGAAUGAGACAGCGCUAGAAGAUUUAAUUGAGAAGAAAAAUAAAAAAAAAAGACUACAAAAAAUUUAACAAAUGAUGUUGCAGGUGUAGAUGAUGAAAAAGAUGUUGCUGCUGCUGAUGGGUUAUCCUUACUGAAAGAAAGUGAUAUUCUAAGGCUCUGCUCAUACCUAUGCAGGUAAAUUUGAAACGCAUUGUUGGGAUCUCUGAUUUUUAAUUGUCUUCCUAAUAUCUCUUUAUGGAUCCCAUAAUGCUUGAUUUGUCAUUCAAAUACAGACUUAUUGCGACCACUGGACACUGUUGGGUUUCAACUUUAAUAUGAAGAAGGUAUAUAUGUAUAUGAUUCCCUUGGCUACACUAAAGUAUCAUCUCAACAGAUUGGUGUGGAAAAGAUGUUACCCUAUGUGGUGUAUGCCGUUAACCCCACAUCUGAUCACGUAGAGUUGGAUAUUAAUUGGGAGCCCGAAUUCGUACCAUGUUCUUGAUAGCCAGAUUAUUGCGCAUGUGGAAUUUGUAUUCUUGCUUUUGUCGAUUGUAUUCGUAGAGGUAAGUCAACGAUGUUUGAGACAAAGCCUAAACCUGAAAACUUGCGGAACCGUGUAGCAAUGGAUUUUGUUGACUGUGGUGUCGCACCUACAGGAAAGUAAGAGAAACAAGAGCUAACUAAGGAAGGUGUAGCAAUGAAAGGCAAUACACUAAAGCUUUAUGGUUUGUGUUUAAAUCAAACUUAACUAUUUUAGGUGUUAGUUUUGGAUGAAAUGUUAGUUUUCUUAAUUGUUGGUUGAGGGAAUGUUUCAAUGGUCUAUUGUUUGCUAUGGAUGUUAAUUUUCUUAGUUGUUUGUUAACCUAAUGUCAAGCUUAUGAUUUGCUAUGUUGUGAUAUGAUAUUUUCUUAAACACUUAAACUAGUUUGACAAAUUUGUCUACCAUAAUGUUGGAUUCAAAAUAUUCAAGACUUGUAACAUAUUCAGGUGAAGUGGUGAGCCACAAAAUUAACAUAGAAAGGGAACACACUUGCACUCCUAACCAACAAUGUGCCUUAACGAUUUGUCGCGAGCCGUUUGCAGAUUCUAGAACAGCAUCUGGUACACUCACUCACUCACAUUAGUUUUUGUUAAAAGCUUCACAAUCUUACUAAUUGUCUUAGCACUCCCCUGUACACUCAUGUCCAUGUUCUGGUUUGUGGAGAUUUUGAGUGUGACUGAAUCUUCUUCAUCAACAGGUUGCUUCUCCAUCUUCUUAUUCUUCAGUGUGACCGCAUCUUCUUCAUCAACAGGUUGCUUCCCCAUCUUCUUUUUCUUCAACAUAUUGCUCAGUAUUUCUUGCUUCUUCAACUCCACAUCUUCAAUUUCGUCCACCCACAAAAAUCCUUUACAAACAAUUGACUGAAACUUGCAGCUCAAAAAUUGUCUUCCAAGUGAUCGAUUUUGUGAACUAGUACCAAAAUUCAUUUUGUGAUCAUCGCAGAGGAGGACACAUGGGAAAUCAUGAAAUACACAAUCCUUUGCGAAGUGGCCACCACCUCCACAGAUGAAACACUUAAACUUCGAAAAAAUUGAGCUUGAAAAACCUUUUUAAUUCAUUCUAAUCUUAAACUAGGGAAGAAGGCGCCCAAACAAAAUCGUGUUUAUCACUUCUUAUCUCUGUUUGCGUUCCACAUUAACAGAUUGGGGAAGAAGACACUAUUUAAGAGCAUUAUUCAGUCGGUCCAACGGUAACAGUGACAACAUAUUGACACCGUUGGAUUAAAAACACAUCUCAUUCGUUGGAUUAAGACACCUGUCUGAGUUAUUAAGUUUAAACCACGUAAGCUUUUUAUCGAAUAAAAUAAGCCAAGUCAGAAUCUGCAAUUCAUCAGCAAUUCAUAUCUCAAUAAAAGCAUGACAUCAUACAUGUAUACAAGAAAAAACCAACAGAUCAGUAAUAAUCCAUAUGGUAGAUUGAUAUUGGUUAUCUUAAUUGUAGUGGAAUAUUUUGGAUGUUCAUCAAAGUUGGGUGACUUGGGUCUUGAAGUUUUAAUUAUUAGUUUCUAAUAAGAAGUUUAGGGCGAUAUAAUUCCCAGUAUAUAUGGUUUUGCCAUAUGGUUUUAAUUAUUAGUGUUUGACAGUAGUGUAAUAUUGUCCUUUUUGGAAAGGCUUCUGUGAUUUGCUAAUUUGUUAAACUAAGUUUGAUAAAUUAACACAGAAAGGGAGAGCCAAACAAAAUUAACAUAGAAUUUAGAAAAGGAUAACAGGUGCACUAGUGCCAUCCACCAUACAAGGUGUCUUCAAAACAAAACACAAAACUACAUAAUGACUACUUGGUUUUUCUCCUUUUCUCUACAUGCACCAAAGCCCUCAAUUCCUUCAUCUCUUUCUUCAUUUUCUCCAUUAUUCGGAGACCUUGUGUAUCAUGAGCAACGAACAUGUGGUAUAGUUCAAACUAUUCCUUGUUGAACUCAGUAUGAAGGAAACAACCAUCCUUUAUAUGAUCUUCAAAAUCCUCCAUUGAUUUGCUGAGCUUUGAGACCUUCAUAGUGAUGGUAACCGGACGACCUGGAAGACAUGGAAGAACUGGUGUUUCUGCCAUGGAAAUGAUACAUUCAAAAUAGGUUUGUUUUUUAGGGAGGGGAUGAAAGGAAAAAGGAAAUAAAGGUGUAGUGCAGAAUUGGGGUUGAGAUUAGGCAGAGCAUUGAACUAUAUAGCUAGCCAUCUUGUAACUAGGCUGAGUUGUUAAUUUAGUAGAGGUAGCGUGGGACACUGGCCACUGGGAGUGUAGUCUUUUCGUGGGGUGUGGGAGUGGGACACUGGAGUGUAGUCUUUUCGUGGGGUGGAAUGAUUCCAUACAGGUAAACAGGUUAUAAAACACUAAAACACUAAAACAAAGAUUGGUAGAUAUAGGGGUGCUAUUCGCUCGAGCCGAGCUAAGGUAUGCUCAAACUCGGCUCGUUACUAACCGAGCCGAGCU
rnacentral:lncRNA from 1 species